UGGGACCACCAUCAUAGUGUCCGCCGGCCCAACUCCGUCCUUGGAGUUCUUUGCCGGCAAAACUUCCCGGGGUUUGUCACGUUGCCUGGUGAGGGUCGGCUUCCAGAGCUUGGGUUGAGCUGGGAGCACUACGUGGCUGCCCCGGCCCCGCCGGAUGUCAUUAUCGACGGUGUCGUGUGUGACACGAGGGCAGACAUGGUGAUCAGGACGUUCUGGACAUUCUACAGGUGUGAGGAGGGAUACGAGGAGGACAGCGCAAAUGUUAUCCAGAACGUCUGCAAGCGCCUACUCCAGAACUUA
rnacentral:rRNA from 1 species